ACGCUGGCGGCGUGCCUAAUACAUGCAAGUAGAACGCUGAAGGAGGAGCUUGCUUCUCUGGAUGAGUUGCGAACGGGUGAGUAACGCGUAGGUAACCUGCCUGGUAGCGGGGGAUAACUAUUGGAAACGAUAGCUAAUACCGCAUAAUAGCAGUUGUUGCAUGACAACUGUUUAAAAGGUGCAAUUGCAUCACUACCAGAUGGACCUGCGUUGUAUUAGCUAGUUGGUGGGGUAACGGCUCACCAAGGCGACGAUACAUAGCCGACCUGAGAGGGUGAUCGGCCACACUGGGACUGAGACACGGCCCAGACUCCUACGGGAGGCAGCAGUAGGGAAUCUUCGGCAAUGGACGGAAGUCUGACCGAGCAACGCCGCGUGAGUGAAGAAGGUUUUCGGAUCGUAAAGCUCUGUUGUAAGAGAAGAACGAGUGUGAGAGUGGAAAGUUCACACUGUGACGGUAUCUUACCAGAAAGGGACGGCUAACUACGUGCCAGCAGCCGCGGUAAUACGUAGGUCCCGAGCGUUGUCCGGAUUUAUUGGGCGUAAAGCGAGCGCAGGCGGUUAGAUAAGUCUGAAGUUAAAGGCUGUGGCUUAACCAUAGUACGCUUUGGAAACUGUUUAACUUGAGUGCAAGAGGGGAGAGUGGAAUUCCAUGUGUAGCGGUGAAAUGCGUAGAUAUAUGGAGGAACACCGGUGGCGAAAGCGGCUCUCUGGCUUGUAACUGACGCUGAGGCUCGAAAGC
rnacentral:rRNA from 1 species